rnacentral:rRNA from 1 species
CAGUCGCCGCGGUAAUACGUAGGGUGCGAGCGUUAAUCGGAAUUACUGGGCGUAAAGCGUGCGCAGGCGGUUGUGUAAGACAGGUGUGAAAUCCCCGGGCUUAACCUGGGAACUGCGCUUGUGACUGCACAGCUAGAGUAUGGCAGAGGGGGGUGGAAUUCCACGUGUAGCAGUGAAAUGCGUAGAGAUGUGGAGGAACACCGAUGGCGAAGGCAGCCCCCUGGGCCAAUACUGACGCUCAUGCACGAAAGCGUGGGGAGCAAAUGGGAUUAGAUACCCCGGUAGUCCCUGUCUCUUAUAC